rnacentral:rRNA from 1 species
AUUGAACGCUGGCGGCAGGCCUAACACAUGCAAGUCGAGCGGAUGAAGGGAGCUUGCUCCUGGAUUCAGCGGCGGACGGGUGAGUAAUGCCUAGGAAUCUGCCUGGUAGUGGGGGAUAACGUCCGGAAACGGGCGCUAAUACCGCAUACGUCCUGAGGGAGAAAGUGGGGGAUCUUCGGACCUCACGCUAUCAGAUGAGCCUAGGUCGGAUUAGCUAGUUGGUGGGGUAAAGGCCUACCAAGGCGACGAUCCGUAACUGGUCUAAGAGGAUGAUCAGUCACACUGGAACUGAGACACGGUCCAGACUCCUACGGGAGGCGGCAGUGGGGAAUAUUGGACAAUGGGCGAAAGCCUGAUCCAGCCAUGCCGCGUGUGUGAAGAAGGUCUUCGGAUUGUAAAGCACUUUAAGUUGGGAGGAAGGGCAGUAAGUUAAUACCUUGCUGUUUUGACGUUACCAACAGAAUAAGCACCGGCUAACUUCGUG